CCUACGGGAGGCAGCAGUGGGGAAUAUUGGACAAUGGGGGGAACCCUGAUCCAGCGACGCCGCGUGAGUGAAGAAGUAUUUCGGUAUGUAAAGCUCUAUCAGCAGGGAAGAAAGAAAAGACGGUAGCGGACGAAGAAGCGCCGGCUAACUACGUGCCAGCAGCGGCGGUAAGGCGUCGGGUGCACGCGUUGUCCGGAUUGACUGGGUGUACAGGGAGCGUAGCCGGCGAGGGCAGGCUGCAGGUAAAGGCGGGGGACCACCCCCCGGACUGCCUUGGAAACUGUAGGGCUGGGGUGCGGGAGGGGUAAGUGGAAUUCCUAGUGUAGCGGUGAAAUGCGUAGAUAUUAGGAGGAACACCAGUGGCGGCGGCGGCUUACUGGACUGUAACUGACGUUGCGGCUCGCAUGCGUGGGGAGCAAACAGGAUUAGAUACCCCGGUAGUC
rnacentral:rRNA from 1 species